CCUGGUUGAUCUUGCCAGUAGUCGUAUGCUUGUCUCAAAGAUUAAGCCAUGCAUGUCCCAGUGCAUGCCGAAUUAAGGUGAAACCGCAAAUGGCUCAAUCUAAUGAACCAUAAAUCAGUUAUGGUUCAUUAGAUUGUACCCACAGUUACUUGGACAACUGUGGUAAUUCUAGAGCUAAUACAUGCAAAACAGAGUCCCGACCAGUGAUGGGAGAUUUUAUUAGAUCAAAACCAAUCGGUGGCGGACGGUUUCUUGCCGCUCGUCCACCGUUCAUUUUGGUAACUCUGAAUAACUUUGAGCUGAUCGCACGGUCCUAGCACCGGCGACGCAUCUUUCAAAUGUCUGCCUUAUCAACUGUCGAUGGUAGGUUCUGCGCCUACCAUGGUUGUAACGGGUAACGGGGAAUCAGGGUUUGAUUUUGGAGAGGGAGCCUGAGAAACGGCUACCACAUCCAAGGAAGGCAGCAGGCGCGCAAAUUACCCACUCCCGGCACGGGGAGGUAGUGACAAAAAAUAACGAUACGGGACUCAUCCGAGGCCCCGUAAUCGGAAUGAGUACAUUUUAAAUCCUUUAACGAGGAUCCAUUGGAGGGCAAGUCUGGUGCCAGCAGUCGCGGUAAUUCCAGCUCCAAUAGCGUAUAUUAAAGUUGUUGCGGUUAAAAAGCUCGUAGUUGAAUCUGUGUCGCACACCGUCGGUUCACCACUCGCGGUGUCUAACUGGCGUGAUGUGGGACGUCCUACCGGUGGGCUCAGCCUCGAGAGGGGCGGCCCAACUAAUAUCUCGUCGCGGUGCUCUUUACUGAGUGUCGAAUCGGGCUGGUACGUUUACUUGAACUAAUUAGAGUGCUUAAAGCAGGCUAGCUUNGCCUGAAUACUGUGUGCAUGGAAUAAUGGAAUAGGACCUCGGUUCUAUUUUGUUGGUUUUCGGAACCCCGAGGUAAUGAUUAAUAGNGACAGAUGGGGGCAUUCGUAUUGCGACGUUAGAGGUGAAAUUCUUGGAUCGUCGCAAGACGGACAGAAGCGAAAGCAUUUGCAAAAAAUGUUUUCAUUAAUCAAGAACGAAAGUUAGAAAUUCGAAGGCAAUCAGAUACCGCCCUAGUUCUAACCAUANACGAUGCCAGCUAGCGAUCCACCGAAGUUCCUCCGAUGAUUCGGCGGGCAGCUUCCGGGAAACCAAAGCUUUUGGAUUCCGGGAGAAGUAUGGUUGCAAAGCUGAAACUUAAAGGAAUUGAUGGAAGGGCACCACCAAAAGUGGAGCCUGCAGCUUAAUUUGACUCAACACGGAAAACCUCACCAGGGGGGCUAUUACUGUUCUCAGAUCGAGUNAAAAUGACGAAAGUGAGCAGCUUACCUUAUUACGGUUAAUCUCAUCUUGUGAAAAAACGAAAUUAUUCACGUGAAUAAACUCGACACAAAAUUUCAUGUCAAAAAUACUGUGUCCGCAUGCGUCAGCGUUAUUUGUGCGAAAAAAAACUAUGAGUUUGCAAUCACCCAAUAAACCCUGCAUCAUGAAAAAAGCAACAGUUAUCGAAAGCAAAAAGCUACAGUUAUGAAAAAAGUGCCUACAAUGAAUGUAAUAAUUUUAAUGUUUCAAAGAGAUUGGCAAAACACAAUGGUAAGAAUUCGUCGAACACUUCGCGAUGUUAUAUUAAAUAAAUCUGAGAUCCAUUUAAUAUAACGGAAAGAGAAUUCCGUAGUUUUUACAGGUAAAUGUCAUUAUUUAUGCUUA
rnacentral:rRNA from 1 species